rnacentral:rRNA from 1 species
UACAGAGGGUGCAAGCGUUGUUCGGAAUUACUGGGCGUAAAGCGCGCGUAGGCGGCUUUGUAAGUUAGAGGUGAAAGCCCGGAGCUCAACUCCGGAAUUGCCUUUAAGACUGCAUCGCUAGAAUCAUGGAGAGGUUAGUGGAAUUCCGAGUGUAGAGGUGAAAUUCGUAGAUAUUCGGAAGAACACCAGUGGCGAAGGCGACUAACUGGACAUGUAUUGACGCUGAGGUGCGAAAGCGUGGGGAGCAGACAGG